CCUACGGGAGGCAGCAGUGGGGAAUAUUGGGCAAUGGAGGAAACUCUGACCCAGCGACGCCGCGUGCGGGAUGAAGGCCUUCGGGUUGUAAACCGCUUUCAGUAGGGAAGAAGCGAAAGUGACGGUACCUACAAAAGAAGCACCGGCUAACUAUGUGCCAGCAGCCGCGGUAAUACAUAGGGUGCAAGCGUUGUCCGGAAUUAUUGGGCGUAAAGAGCUCGUAGGUCGUUUGUUACGUCGGAUGUGAAAACCUGAGGCUCAACCUCAGGCCUGCAUUCGAUACGGGCAAACUAGAGUUUGGUAGGGGAGACUGGAAUUCCUGGUGUAGCGGUGGAAUGCGCAGAUAUCAGGAGGAACACCAAUGGCGAAGGCAGGUCUCUGGGCCAAUACUGACACUGAGGAGCGAAAGUCUGGGGAGCGAACAGGAUUAGAUACCCUGGUAGUCCAGGCCGUAAACGGUGGGCACUAGUUGUGGGAACCUUCCACGGUUUCUGCGACGCNGCUACGCAUAGUAGCCCGCCCGUCGGGAGGUACGAGCGCGAGAAGUUAAACGUAACGAAAGGAAGUAGUAACGGUCGUGAGACGUGCCGAACGGACGACGACGAGGGAGGAGG
rnacentral:rRNA from 1 species